GAGAUGUUGGGUUAAGUCCCGCAACGAGCGCAACCCUUGAUUUUAGUUGCCAGCAUUCAGUUGGGCACUCUAAGGUGACUGCCGGUGACAAACCGGAGGAAGGUGGGGANGACGUCAAAUCAUCAUGCCCCUUAUGACCUGGGCUACACACGUGCUACAAUGGACAGAACAAAGGGNUGCAAGACCGCAAGGUUUAGCCAAUCCCAUAAAUCUGUUUUCAGUUAGGAUCGCAGUCUGCAACUCGACUGCGUGAAGCUGGAAUCGCUAGUAAUCGCGGAUCAGCAUGCCGCGGUGAAUACGUUCCCGGGCCUUGUACAC
rnacentral:rRNA from 1 species